UGGGGAAUAUUGGACAAUGGGCGAAAGCCUGAUCCAGCAAUGCCGCGUGAGUGAUGAAGGCCUUAGGGUUGUAAAGCUCUUUUACCCGGGAUGAUAAUGACAGUACCGGGAGAAUAAGCUCCGGCUAACUCCGUGCCAGCAGCCGCGGUAAUACGGAGGGAGCUAGCGUUGUUCGGAGUUACUGGGCGUAAAGCGCACGUAGGCGGCUUUGUAAGUUAGAGGUGAAAGCCUGGAGCUCAACUCCAGAAUUGCCUUUAAGACUGCAUCGCUCGAAUCCAGGAGAGGUGAGUGGAAUUCCGAGUGUAGAGGUGAAAUUCGUAGAUAUUCGGAAGAACACCAGUGGCGAAGGCGGCUCACUGGACUGGUAUUGACGCUGAGGUGCGAAAGCGUGGGUAGCAAAACAGGAUUAGAUACCCUGGUAGUCCACGCCGUAAACGAUGAUAACUAGCUGUCCGGGGACUUGGUCCUUGGGUGGCGCAGCUAACGCAUUAAGUUAUCCGCCUGGGGAGUACGGCCGCAAGGUUAAAAACUUAAAAUGAAUUGACGGGGUCAUAGCUGUUUCCUG
rnacentral:rRNA from 1 species